UCAGCUCUUCUAUGAAAUAAAAGAGCGCGCAGUACAAACUACAUGUAAAUCUUCAACUCGGCUUAUGACACUGUGGAAGAAGUCUGAUAAGCCAAAAGUCACAUUCGCUUCGUUGAUUGAAACAAAGUCUCCACUCCCCGCAACAAGAUGGCAUUUUGGAUGGAGACGAGUGAACAAAUCCAGGUUUUCCGACUACCAACGGGCGCACGUGGGAGGGAAACACUGGAAAGUGACCCUGUGGUGAAUGCAAACGGGCGUCAUUUUGUUAGCCUUGGCGACAGCACGCAACUUGAGUUUACGUAUGCAGCGAGAACGCCUGUUACCAUCACACUGCACAAGGAUGGAGCCGCCAUAGGCAGCAGCAACAACAUGCCACCUUCAGGACGUGUCCGAGUAGAUAUCGUUAACGCUCAAUACCUUCACCACAAGAGACGCUACGAUCUGAUCGUCACCGACGCACGUGGACGAAGAGGCAGAGCAUCCACCGAUCUCUGCAUCCGAGAGUACCUAAUAUAAUUAAGGACAAACUUAUCGACUAUGGCACUUCUACAGGAAACCUUACAAUGGCCUGAAACAACCGCCAUCGAUGUCGUGAGCCUGAGACUAAAGAUCUUACAUGAUACUUACAUGAUAAACUAAGUGCAUCAUAUUCAGUCUCUGCUGUAUGUUUUACAUUAAUGAAAUUUCAUUCAUUAGGUGCACAACCAGUGCUGUUCUCAUAUUGGCUGUGCAUUUCAACAAAGAAUUAAUGAUGUUUUCAAAGUACUUUUAUGGCACUUGGGAAGUAGCAUUAUAGUCGUACUUCUUUAAGUGUUGUUGCUAAGGAAUCACAAAUACUACUGAUAAUAACAAACAAACAGCCUAACCGAGCAGUCACGUGAUUCUGUAGAUGUCUAGGGAAUUCAACAAUCCCCACUCCAGAGGGGUCUUACAUUUUUAUAGGAAAACUUGGAAAAUAUUUAUAACUAGAUACAAUGGCAGUUUCCCUAAAUUUUUGUCUAAUCAAUUUUUGGCUUCUACAAAAAUUUCUACAUGUAUAUAUUCAGAAGAAUCAUCUCCACUCUUUAAACACUUAGAAUGCUCUGAAAAUUUAGGCCUAAGCUUAAGGAAGGUCAGUAUCUCAUCUACUAAAAAUAAAUUACAGCCACGCUCGAAAUUGAACUUAUUCAUAACUUGCCUUCUCAAACCGAAAUUUAGCAGGAAAUCCACGAUAGACAGCAUAUGAUUUAUGUUUUACGCAUCUGUAAUGUAUGGUGUUAUUUCUUCUCGUUUUAAUCUUCUAAUGACUAUUUGUGCAAUCUGAUUAAAGAAUAAAGCCAGAUAGACAAAAACGGAAAA